UAACAGUGAAGACAGGUGAGUUUCAAUUAUCAUUAAAGCAUUUCAUCAGUAAGGUUGUGGAACGACGAGGUUAGGGAUGAUGAAUCACUUCUCCUCGAAGAUUAGUUUUUCAAGUAUUUGCGAACACGAACGUACAGCGGUUUUCUCUUUAUAGCCCCAUUGACAGUCCUAUUUACUAUAAUUGAUUUACAUCUAAUUUUACUCAUACAAAAAAAAAAUACUCAAAAAAACUCGUGUUACAAGCAUCAUCAACUACAUCAUCAACGUCUUCGUUCCUCAUCCACAAUGUAGAGCACUUACAGCCCCAGAUAGUCUUUUGUUGAAUGCUGCACUACCGGACACACAUCAACCUGUAGUCAAACUAUAACCCUUUUUAAUCCUAAUUUCAGGGAUGUUUUCCAAGCUUCACCUCUUAUGACGAUUUUGGUCAUGGAAGUAAGGCCAACACUCUGAUCACUGGGACCUUUCUCAUUCGAAAUUAAGGACUUCAAAUUUUCACACAUAGAGAUAUGAUAGAGGGACUGAUAGUGUGUACGCUUAGAAAGGGCUGACUGGCCAUUUUAUGGCAUCAGCGAUCCAUUGACUUCAUCCAAAGCUCCGGUAGAAGGGCCCCGGGACUACAAGAAAAGGUCUUCGAUUUAGUCAACGUCUUAUACGCAUUAGGUGUCAAUACACAAGCUGAGAAGGACGAGGAGGACACCACGCAACUGAGCUACCACCAAUCAAGGACCAUUUUCUAUGUGAAGGGGUUGGCCCUUGACUCCAUCGUCAUUUACUACCCUGAGGAAUUCAACUGGCCAUUAAGAUGUCCAAUCAGUCCUGUAUAGUUGAGGCACUGUUGUUGAUUCUUUGCUUCUCAAUCAAAACCCUACGUUUCUCCAUUUUUCACCAGCAAUUAUUCGAUGUCAUGUAUAUGAGAAGUGAUUGCAGGAGAGACAACUCGGAGAAAAUUUUGGUACUUCACCGAAGCAAGGAAAUGCCAAUAUUUAUCUUCGCUUGUGACAAAAGAAAGGGAGAGCUAGAGAGUAAGACUCACCGAUGACUUAGAAAUAGAGCGACCCAGGAUGCCCAGGAAUAAUACAUAAAAGUUCUAAUCAUGACUCGCAAUUCAAACCACUUACUCCGAACCAAAUUACUAGUUGUUAUAUCUGUGGAUCUCAGUACUGUGCAGUGUCCAGUCUUUAUAUGCAUGUAAACCUGAAGAACAAGUUCGACCCAUCAGUGCAAUUUAUAUUAAGAUUAUUUCUGAGAACGCAAAAUGACGUACGAGAGCUCAGGAUGAGUGAAAUUUGACAGGGAAAAGAUCUCAUCAUUAUUAUUUAAUCGAACAAUUCAUCGGAAAUAGCUGAUCUGUGAUCUUAUGAGCACUCCAAACACCCCACUCCAAAGAUGCUUUGAUUGUCAUUAGCCCUCGAGACAACGCGAUUGCUUCAGGACAUCGACUACUUCCAAUUCCACUCCUCAAGUUCUCCAAUCUGGGAGGAAAUAGCAAAGGACCUGGGUCAACGCUGGAACCACAACUGCUACACGAGCAUCAGCAAAAGAUCGUGAAAAUAGCUUGGGAGAACCAGGGCAUUUUCCUUCUGAAGGAGGGACACGAGGCCAAGACACUGAAGAUGCAAGCGAAGUUCGAAAACCUUUAAAAAAUCAAGCGUUUUCCUUGGUGCAAAUACCAUGAGUAGAUUACAUGGUAUUUUACAACAGCAAUAUCAUUUGUGGUAUAUUUGAAGUAUUUCUUUUUGUUUUCUUUUUUUCUUCAUAAAACAAUACUCUAUAUUGAAUGGAAUUACUAAUUGUUGAUCAGUCGUGAACUCCAAUGCUAAAAUAUUGAAGAUAAGGGCAGGAAACACAAGAUUUUUUUUCAAGUAAUAUUGUUGUCAAUCACAUCAGAAUUUCAAAUUUAUUGGCGUUCAUUUUCAGUUCUUGCAAAUAUCAAUUUUUAAUCAAAGUUUGUUCAUUCACCUUUCCUUUCAAAGUAAAUUAAAUUACCUUGGGGUAGAGCAUUGUAAUGCUGGAAAUUACAUUAGAAUAUGUGUGGAGUGAAAAUGCCACGAGAAUAUAUUGUCAUUACAAUUUAUUAUUCAUGUGAGUUAAUUUCUACCACUUUCCAAUGACAAGUUUUUUGGAAACUAAAAUUGGAUUUUCACACGAAUUUUACGCAAUUAUGAUUUUUAAUGUCCUCAGCUGGAUACAAGCACUUGGUAAGGAGGCUCCAAUAUCUGAAAAAGUAUUAAUUUUUGGUCUCUCAUCCUGAAUAAUUUAAUGAAAAGGGUAAUUUGAGUAAUUAAUUAUUAUGUUCAUUAGUACCUAUUAUAAAUAUAGUGCAGUGUUCUGAUAGAGAAAGGUCUCUUUAAGGAAGCCACG